rnacentral:rRNA from 1 species
UGAGUGCGAGCUGCUACGGCAGCGAAGUUGGUGAUGUCAUGCUUCCAAGAAAAGCCCUAUACCCGUUAAGGCAUCAUGGCCUGUACCCGAAACCGACACAGGUGGGGUGGUAGGGAAUACCGAGGGGCGCGAGGUAACUCUCUCUAAGGAACUCGGCAAAAUGGCCCCGUAACUUCGGGAGAAGGGGUGCCACCGCAAGGUGGUCGCAGUGAAGAGGCCCAGGCGACUGUUUACCAAAAACACAGGUCUCCGCUAAGUCGCAAGACGAUGUAUGGGGGCUGACGCCUGCCCAGUGCCGGAAGGUUAAGGAAGCUGGUCAGCGCAAGCGAAGCUAGCGACUGAAGCCCCGGUGAACGGCGGCCGUAACUAUAACGGUCCUAAGGUAGCGAAAUUCCUUGUCGGGUAAGUUCCGACCCGCACGAAAGGCGUAACGAUCUGGGCGCUGUCUCGGAGAGAGACUCGGCGAAAUAGAAUUGUCUGUGAAGAUGCGGACUACGUGCACCCGGACAGAAAGACCCUAUGAAGCUUUACUGUAGCUUGGUAUUGUGCCCGGGCUCGCAAUGCGCAGGAUAGGUGGGAGGCUUUGAUCAUCGGCUUGCGGGUCGAUGUGAGCCAACGGUGAGAUACCACUCUUUGCGAGCUAGGGUUCUAACGGCCACCCGUCAUCCGGGGGCCGGACAGUACCUGGUGGGCAGUUUGACUGGGGCGGUCGCCUCCUAAAAGGUAACGGAGGCGCGCAAAGGUUUGCUCAGGCUGGUUGGAAAUCAGCCGACGAGUGUAAAAGCAGAAGCAAGCUUGACUGUGAGACCAACAAGUCGAACAGGGAGGAAACUCGGCUUUAGUGAUCCGACGGUUCUGAGUGGAAGGGCCGUCGCUCAACGGAUAAAAGUUACUCUAGGAUAACGGGCUGAUCUCCCCCAAGAGUUCACAUCGACGGGGAGGUUUGGCACCUCGAUGUCGGCUCAUCGCAACCUGGGGCUGAAGUCGGUCCCAAGGGUUGGGCUGUUCGCCCAUUAAAGCGGUACGCGAGCUGGGUUCAGAACGUCGUGAGACAGUUCGGUCCAUAUCCGGUGCACGCGCAGGAAUAUUGAGAGGAUUUCUCCCUAGUACGAGAGGACCGGGAGGAACGCACCUCUGGUGUACCAGUUAUCGUGCCAACGGUAAACGCUGGGUAGCCAUGUGCGGAGUGGAUAACCGCUGAAAGCAUCUAAGUGGGAAGCCCACCUCAAGAUGAGUAUUCCCAUGGCGUAAGCCAGUAAGGUCACGGGAAGAACACCCGUUGAUAGGCUCUAUGUGGAAGCGCAGUAAUGCGUGAAGCAGAGGAGUACUAAUAGACCGAGGGCUUGA